UGAUCAGAACACUACAGGAAACACCUGCUUGAAGUUAUUGCUGCCAAAAGGAGAUUUGACCAGCUAUUAACUCCAAGGGUUCACUUACUUUUUCCUCCUGCACUGGGAAUGU